AGUGAACGCUGGCGGUAGGCCUAACACAUGCAAGUCGAACGGAAGCACAGUAAGCGCUUGCCCUUACGGGUGGCGAGUGGCGGACGGGUGUCGAAUACAUCGGAAUCUACUUUUUCGUGGGGGACACCGAGGGAAACUUACGCUUACACCGGAUUAGAUCUAACGGUAUAAGUCAGGGGUUUUCGGCCCUUUUGCGGUUGAUUGUAGCGAUGUCGGAUUAGCUAGUUGGCGGGGUAAAGGCCCACCAAGGCGACGAUCCGUAGCCGGUCUGAGAGGAUGAUCGGCCACACUGGAACUGAGACACGGUCCAGACUCCUACGGGAGGCAGCAGUGGGGAAUAUUGGACAAUGGGCGCAAGCCUGAUCCAGCCAUACCGCGUGGGUGAGGAAGGCCUUCGGGUUGUAAAGCCCUUUUGUUGGGAAAGAAAAGCAGCAGGUUAAUACCCCGCUGUUCUGACGGUACCCAAAGAAUAAGCGCCGGCUAACUUCGUG
rnacentral:rRNA from 1 species